UACCAAAAAAUCAAGAAGAAUAAUGCGCAAAAAUGUAUACUAAAAAAAAAAAAAAUGUAUAUGUAUAUAUUCUUCCCGCCGUCUUUUUUUUCUUUUUGCUCCAU
rnacentral:ribozyme from 14 species